GAAGACCUGCCUUAGACACUCCUCUCUUGGCAUGUGUGGCCUGCUAGCUGGAGAUUGGCAUAUCUCCACAAAAUUGAGGUGGAGCAAAGGCGGGUCGCAAGGAGGAACCAGGUGUAUUGACUAGCACAAAGGACAGCUCUGGAGCAGCUGAAUUUUGAAGAUCUUCCCCACCGUGAGAUCACAUCAAUUGAAGACGGAAGCAGUGGAACGCCUUCUGGACCGGGACCCCCCGAGACACUGGAUGUCUGUGGACCUGUGAUGAUAGACAUUGAAUUGGAUCCCACAAAUCCCCCAUCAUUCUGGAACAGCUAAGCAGGAAACAGCACUUUUCCAUUAGGCAGAACAAACAGACAUCUGUUACAGGCUUAAGUGACCACUGUGGAGGCUGACCUCUGAAAGACGGUAUGCUCCAUCAGACAAUGGCAAGAUUAGAGGACACUGUGCUCCCACGCACAUAUAAGAACAUACAGGAGUUGGACCUAAAAAGGCCUGAAGACCAAUGCUGAAGUCUUUGUGGACUGAAGGAAUCUAAAAACCCAAUGUCCCACAGGAAAUCUGCAGCAGAUUAAAGAGCUACGCCCAAGUCUGAUCAUCCUUUUCCCAUGCUGUAUAACAAGAAGCAGCUCCUGAUUCUCUCAUGGGGAGAGAGAUUAGUACAUCGCACUAAGCUCUCUCCCUGAGUGGCUAAGCCCAGGUCUGGAAAAGGAAGGUUAUGAGGAGACAUCAGCAUUAGACACUCUAUCUGUAAACCUCCCAAGGUACUUUAUGGAUCAAAAAUGAACCCAGACUGUAAGAAAACACUGGCAUGACAUCCUUCUGACACAGCCUUCACUGACUGCACUAAGAAUAUACCCACUUCUCCCCGUUACCUGCAGGGUCAGCAGCGGCUGUGGGUCCUCCAUGUGGCGGAUGGUGUCAGAUGGCACUGUCAGGAUGAGAUUCUCAACAGCCAGUUCUGCCCAGGGAGCAGGGUGGUGCCGGAUACAAUCCUUCCACU